GAACGCGAAGAACCUUACCCGGGCUUGAAUUGCAGAGGAAGGAUUUAGAGAUAAUGACGCCCUUCGGGGUCUCUGUGAAGGUGCUGCAUGGUUGUCGUCAGCUCGUGCCGUGAGGUGUCGGCUUAAGUGCCAUAACGAGCGCAACCCCUGUCUUUAGUUGCCAUCAGGUUAAGCUGGGCACUCUGGAGAUACUGCCACCGUAAGGUGUGAGGAAGUGGGGAUGACGUCAAAUCAGCACGGCCCUUACGUCCGGGGCUACACACGUGUUACAAUGGCCGGUACAGAGGGACGGUGUAAUGUAAAUUGCAUCCAAUCUUGAAAGCCGGUCCCAGUUCGGACUGGGGUCUGCAACCCGACCCCACGAAGCUGGAUUCGCUAGUAAUCGCGCAUCAGCCAUGGCGCGGUGAAUACGUUCCCGGGUCUUGUACACACC
rnacentral:rRNA from 1 species